rnacentral:rRNA from 1 species
AGAGUUUGAUCCUGGCUCAGGACGAACGCUGGCGGCGUGCUUAACACAUGCAAGUCAAGGGGGCCCAGCAAUGGGCAACCGGCGAACGGGUGCGUAACACGUGAGCAACCUACCGAACUGUGGGGGAUAGCCGGCCUAACGGCCGAGUAAUACCGCAUACGCUUUCUAAAAGGCAUUUUUUGGAAAGGAAACCUACGGGACAGAUCGAGGGGCUCGCGGCCUAUCAGCUAGUUGGCGAGGUAACGGCUCACCAAGGCAACGACGGGUAGCUGGUCUGAGAGGAUGGCCAGCCACAUUGGGACUGAGAUACGGCCCAGACUCCUACGGGAGGCAGCAGUGGGGAAUCUUGCGCAAUGGCCUAACGGCUGACGCAGCGACGCCGCGUGUGGGAUGAAGCUCCUCGGAGUGUAAACCACUGUUGCCCGGGACGAAUAGCUCGAUUAAUCGAGCCUGACGGUACCGGGUGAGGAAGCACCGGCUAACUCCGUGCCAGCAGCCGCGGUAAUACGGGGGGUGCGAGCGUUGUCCGGAAUCACUGGGCGUAAAGGGCGCGUAGGUGGUUUGAUAAGGGUGUGGUGAAAGCCCGGGGCUCAACCCCGGGUCUGCCGUGCCGACUGUUAAACUCGAGGGCUGUAGAGGCAGACGGAAUUCCGGGUGUAGCGGUGGAAUGCGUAGAGAUCCGGAGGAAGACCGGUGGCGAAGGCGGUCUGCUGGGCAGUUUCUGACACUGAUGCGCGACAGCGUGGGGAGCAAACAGGAUUAGAUACCCUGGUAGUCCACGCCGUAAACGAUGGGUACUAGGUGCCUGGGGGAGCGACCCUCUGGGUGCCGGCGCUAACGCAGGAAGUACCCCGCCUGGGGAGUACGACCGCAAGGUUGAAACUCAAAGGAAUUGACGGGGGCCCGCACAAGCGGUGGAGCAUGUGGUUUAAUUCGACGCAACGCGAAGAACCUUACC